rnacentral:rRNA from 1 species
AGGACGAACGCUGGCGGCGUGCUUAACACAUGCAAGUCGAGCGGGUGAUCCUCCUUCGGGAGGUGAUCAGCGGCGAACGGGUGAGUAACACGUGGGCAACCUGCCCCUCACACUGGGAUAACCUCGGGAAACCGGGAUUAAUACCAGAUACGACCACUUUAGACAUCUGCUGUGGUGGAAAGAAUUUCGGCUAGGGAUGAGCUCGCGGCCUAUCAGCUUGUUGGUGAGGUAACGGCUCACCAAGGCGACGACGGGUA